rnacentral:tRNA from 1 species
UCCCUCAUAGCUCAGUCAGUAAAGAAUCUGCCUGCAAUGCAGGAGAUCCGGGUUCAAUUCCUGGGCUGGGAA